UACGUAGGGUGCGAGCGUUAAUCGGAAUUACUGGGCGUAAAGCGUGCGCAGGCGGUUUUGUAAGCCAGAUGUGAAAUCCCCGGGCUUAACCUGGGAAUGGCAUUUGGGACUGCAAGGCUGGAGUGUGGCAGAGGAGACUGGAAUUCCCGGUGUAGCAGUGAAACGCGUAGAUAUCGUAAGGAACGCCAGUGGCGAAAGCGAGUCUCUGGGCAGCAUCUGACACUGAGGCACGAAGGCCAGGGGAGCAAACGGG
rnacentral:rRNA from 1 species